ensembl:misc_RNA Metazoa_SRP Metazoan signal recognition particle RNA
GCCGGGCGCGGUGGCUCAGGCCUGUAAUCCCAGCACUUUGGAAGGCUGAGGCGGGCGGAUCACGAGGUCAGGAGAUCGAGACCAUCCUGGCUAACAGGGUGAAACCCCGUCUCUACUAAAAAUACAAAAAUUUAGCCUGGCAUGGUAGCGGGCACCUGUAGUCCCAGCUACUCGGGAGGCUGAGGCAGGAGAAUGACGUGAACCGGUGAACCCAGCUAAUUUUUUGUAUUUUUAGUAGAGACGGGGUUUCACCGUGUUAGCCAGGAUGGUUUCGAUCUCCUGACCUCGUGAUCCACUCGCCUCG